rnacentral:rRNA from 1 species
UACGGGGGGAGCAAGCGUUGUUCGGAUUUACUGGGCGUAAAGGGCGCGUAGGCGGCCACCGCAAGUCGACUGUGAAAUCUCCGGGCUUAACCCGGAAGGGUCAGCCGAUACUGCGGGGCUAGAGUGCAGAAGGGGCAACUGGAAUUCUCGGUGUAGCGGUGAAAUGCGUAGAUAUCGAGAGGAACACCUGCGGCGAAGGCGGGUAGCUGGGCCGACACUGACGCUGAGGCGCGAAAGCCAGGGGAGCGAACGGG